CCUACGGGUGGCUGCAGUGGGGAAUUUUGCGCAAUGGGGGAAACCCUGACGCAGCAACGCCGCGUGAGUGAUGAAGGCCUUCGGGUCGUAAAGCUCUGUCAGAGGGGAAGAAAUGCAGGGGUGCUAAUAUCAUCUUUGCUUGACGGUACCCUCAAAGGAAGCACCGGCUAACUCCGUGCCAGCAGCCGCGGUAAUACGGAGGGUGCGAGCGUUGUUCGGGAUUAUGUGGCCGAUUUCGUGUGUAGGCGGUGAAAGCCCCGGGCUCAACCUGGGAAGUGCAUUGGAAACUGUCAGACUUGAAUACGGGAGAGGGUAGUGGAAUUCCUAGUGUAGGAGUGAAAUCCGUAGAUAUUAGGAGGAACACCGGUGGCGAAGGCGGCUACCUGGACCGAUAUUGACGCUGAGACGCGAAAGCGUGGGGAGCAAACAGGAUUAGAUACCCCUGUAGUC
rnacentral:rRNA from 1 species